rnacentral:rRNA from 1 species
GACGAACCGUGCAAACGUUAUUCGGAAUCACUGGGCUUAAAGCGCGUGUAGGCGGGACAGCACGUCGGCCGCUGAAAUCCCCCGGCUCAACCGGGGAACUGGCGCCGAUACGACUGUCCUCGAGGAACGUAGGGGGACCUGGAACUUCCGGUGGAGCGGUGAAAUGCGUUGAGAUCGGAAGGAACGCCCGUGGCGAAAGCGAGGUCCUGGACGUUUUCUGACGCUGAGUACGCGAAAGCCAGGGGAGCGAACGGG